UCCGGCUUAACGCCGGCAGUCUACCUAGAGUGCCCAACUUAAUGGUGGCAACUAAGUACGAGGGUUGCGCUCGUUGCGGGACUUAACCCAACACCUCACGGCACGAGCUGACGACAGCCAUGCACCACCUGUGAAAGUGUCCCGAAGGAAAACCGUGUUUCCACGGCUGUCACUUACAUGUCAAGCCUUGGUAAGGUUCUUCGCGUUGCCUCGAAUUAAACCACACGCUCCGCUGCUUGUGCGGGCCCCCGCCUAUUCCUUUGAGUUUUAACCUUGCGGCCGUAGUCCCCAGGCGGUGAACUUAAUGCGUUAGCUGCGGCACUGAUCGGGUCAAUCCGACCAACACCUAGUUCACAACGUUUAGGGCGUGGACUAC
rnacentral:misc_RNA from 1 species